CCUACGGGAGGCAGCAGUGAGGAAUAUUGGUCAAUGGCCGAGAGGCUGAACCAGCCAAGUCGCGUGAGGGAAGACGGCCCUACGGGUUGUAAACCUCUUUUGUCGGGGAGCAAAGCGCGUCACGUGUGACUCCUUGAGAGUACCCGAAGAAAAAGCAUCGGCUAACUCCGUACCAGCAGCCGCGGUAAUACGGAGGAUGCGAGCGUUAUCCGGAUUUAUUGGGGUUAAAGGGUGCGCAGGCGGAGGUGCAAGUCAGCGGUCAAAUUGCGGGGCUCAACCCCGUACUGCCGUUGAAACUGCAGCCCUGGAGUGCGAGAGAAGUAUGCGGAAUGCGUGGUGUAGCGGUGAAAUGCAUAGAUAUCACGCAGAACUCCGAUUGCGAAGGCAGCAUACCGGAGCGCAACUGACGCUCAUGCACGAAAGCGUGGGCAUCGAACAGGAUUAGAUACCCCGGUAGUC
rnacentral:rRNA from 1 species